rnacentral:rRNA from 1 species
UACGUAGGGUGCGAGCGUUAAUCGGAAUUACUGGGCGUAAAGCGUGCGCAGGCGGUAAGUUAAGUCUGAUGUGAAAGCCCCGGGCUUAACCUGGGAAUUGCAUUGGAAACUAGCGGGCUGGAGUGUGGCAGAGGGGGGUGGAAUUCCACGUGUAGCAGUGAAAUGCGUAGAGAUGUGGAGGAACACCGAUGGCGAAGGCAGCCCCCUGGGCUAACACUGACGCUCAUGCACGAAAGCGUGGGGAGCAAACAGG